rnacentral:tRNA from 1 species
GGCACUAUGGCCGAGUGGUUAAGGCGAAAGACUUGAAUAUGUUCAAGCUAUCUUUUGGGAUUUCCUGCGCAGGUUCGAGUCCUGCUGGUGUCG